UCAGUGAAAUUGAACUCGCUGUGAAGAUGCAGUGUACCCGCGGCAAGACGGAAAGACCCCGUGAACCUUUACUAUAGCUUGACACUGAACAUUGAGCCUUGAUGUGUAGGAUAGGUGGGAGGCUUUGAAGUGUGGACGCCAGUCUGCAUGGAGCCGGCCUUGAAAUACCACCCUUUAAUGUUUGAUGUUCUAACGUGGACCCGUGAUCCGGGUUGCGGACAGUGUCUGGUGGGUAGUUUGACUGGGGCGGUCUCCUCCUAAAGAGUAACGGAGGAGCACGAAGGUUGGCUAAUCCUGGUCGGACAUCAGGAGGUUAGUGCAAUGGCAUAAGCCAGCUUGACUGCGAGCGUGACGGCGCGAGCAGGUGCGAAAGCAGGUCAUAGUGAUCCGGUGGUUCUGAAUGGAAGGGCCAUCGCUCAACGGAUAAAAGGUACUCCGGGGAUAACAGGCUGAUACCGCCCAAGAGUUCAUAUCGACGGCGGUGUUUGGCACCUCGAUGUCGGCUCAUCACAUCCUGGGGCUGAAGUAGGUCCCAAGGGUAUGGCUGUUCGCCAUUUAAAGUGGUACGCGAGCUGGGUUUAGAACGUCGUGAGACAGUUCGGUCCCUAUCUGCCGUGGGCGCUGGAGAACUGAGGGGGGCUGCUCCUAGUACGAGAGGACCGGAGUGGACGCAUCACUGGUGUUCGGGUUGUCAUGCCAAUGGCACUGCCCGGUAGCUAAAUGCGGAAGAGAUAAGUGCUGAAAGCAUCUAAGCACGAAACUUGCCCCGAGAUGAGUUCUCCCUGAGACUUAGAGUCUCCUGAAGGAACGUUGAAGACGACGACGUUGAUAGGCCGGGUGUGUAAGCGCAGCGAUGCGUUGAGCUAACCGGUACUAAUGAACCGUGAGGCUUAACCUUACA
rnacentral:rRNA from 1 species